CUUGAAUCAUUUGAACAAGAUCAGAGAAAGUUGCUUUACGAUGACUGAUUUUGAUUAAAGCAAGGUUGCAAAGGUCAAGGUCAUGAUGGUACUAGAAGUGUUUUCUCUGAUUGAGAUUGACUGAUUGAGUAUGAUUGAUGCUGCACUGCUUUUUAUUUUUUAUAUCCAUAUAUUUUUUUUUUGUCAUGUACACACUCAGGUCAUUUAGUUUUACCAGUGUUUUCAAUAUUUUUAGACAUACUUUAUGCUCUUCUGCUCACUAAUUUAUACACAGCUUGGUUUUUAUGGGUUUUAUUUUGUAAGGUUUUUGGUGCAAUUGUUUUUAAGUUAUUCAAUUUGUCUCAAUUUUUUUAUGUAUGAAACAAUAUGUCAGCACUAUUAGCUUCAGGUUAUAACAUUAGUUAUCUGCUUUUGUCAAGUAAUGUUACUUGUCUCUUCAAGAGCUAUUGAUAGUUACUUUGCUUAGAUGCUUGAAGUAUAGGUCAAACAAAUAAGUCACUAAAAUGUCAGAAAAAAGUUUUUUUUUUAAAAUAUUAAAGUUAAAGUUUUGCUUGGCAUCGUUGAUUUUUGUAACAUUAUUUAACAAAUAAAAUUGUAAGGUUAUUUAAUGUGCUGUUCAUACUUUUAAUCAUGUGUCCUCUCCUAUACACUCCCAGUUUAUUUAAGGGUGUAGUUUUUCCUUCUUGCCAAUUAAGUUGUACACACUUCCUGUCUGGCUUAGUUUGAAUACAUGGUAGUUAACAACAAUUUAUUUUGUGUUAGUCCAUCUUCUUAUCUGUAUUGACUAUCUGUCCUUAUCUGUAUUGACUACCUUGCUGACUACAGCAAUUGUGAGAAUAUUUUUCUUAUAGAUGUUUGACAUUAAAUUAAAUAUAGUAAUUAAACAUUUAUUUUAGUAAGAAGCAAGUUCAGAACAUAAAAAAGUGACUAUAGAAAGUCUUUGAAUUAAUGCAAAACAAAAUUACUGUUAAUGUUGAAAAGACUCAGACCAUACAAGAAAACAUCUAGUUUGACAACUAACCUUGUUAGGGAAACAAGUUGAAGAAAUAUUUUUUUUAAAGUGAAGAGUCAUUAUAAAAACAAAAUCCCACUGCACUAUAUAUUUUUUCUUUGAUUUCUUGUUUAGAAAAUAUGAGGUAUACAACUCGAUAGGUUUAUUUCACAUGACAUUUGAGCUUCAGAGAAUUAAGUUGCUUUUGAGAUGAAGGGUGAUGAAAACAUAAAUGAGUUUAUAAUAAUGUUGACAACUAAAUCUUCUUGAUAAUAAGAUGAACAAUUGGAGAAAGUCAACUAUAGCUAGCUUUUAGGUGUAGGCCUAUCCGGUGUACAGAAUACGGAAGUAUUGAUAAGCAAAGUAUUGAAAUAAAUCUUUUUUUUUUUUCUUUACUUUAAAGCAAAGUAGAAUUAAAUUUCUAAUCUGUUUUGCUUGCAGCACAAACUAUUAUUUAUUUAUUUUUUUUGUAAAUUUUGUUUGAUCUCUCAAUAUUGAUAGGUCUUUAUUUCAAAAUUUCUCCCUAUAUGCCUUUGUUUAUUUUCUAAGGCCUAUUUUUUAACUUAUCGCCAUGACGGCACCACAUUUCUUCACACGGGUAUCUUUUUUCCCUUACUGAAUUUCAUUGUUUAAAAAUGUAAAUGUACCUCAAAAAUUAAAAGCAUCAACAAAGAGAAGAUAACUGAGAUAUACAUUUAAUUGUGGAAAUUCCCGAUAAGGGAAAAGGGGAGAUGUUACGCUCUGCACAGUUAUCAUGGUAUGUGCAAAUAAUCUCUAAAUUCUAAUUAUGCUUUAGUUUAAUGAAAUCAUUUAAAAACGAAUCAUCUAACUUAAUUUAGGGGAAACAACAAUUGUUCGCACUGGGUCUACUAUUUUAAAAAAUGCAAAGAAGGUGAGGUUGUCUAGGAAAAGUCGUAAUGUGGGACUUCAAGAUUUUUAUUUUGGUUUUCAGAAAUGAAGAUAAGUCCAGGUGACUACAUCAUGGUUCAAAUCCACCAAACAGAAUUCUUUCUUAGGGACUCUAUCACGACAAUGUCAAGUUGACCUUGUUGACCCAGGUCCUUGGAGCCCAUAGCAAACUUAUUUCUUGAGUUUCGAGUCGUGCCUCUGUUGAAAUAUUUUAAGAUCCCGAAAUAGAACUGUGACUGAUAAACAAAGGCCCAUAUUAAUCUUCUAGUACUACUUUAUAAAGUAGGUCAAUUACCUCCAACAAAGUAAAUUAGAGCUUUUAGCACACCCCCCCUUCCUGAACCUGUUAAAGGCUCUUUUUUUUUUUUUACUAUUUUAUCCUCCUUUUGUAAGUUGAGUGUCGUAAAACCAAAAUCGAGCAAUAUUGUAUGUAUCAGUCUAUUUUUUUAUUUUGGUAACUUUCCCCAAUGCAAGUACAUUACUUCUUAAAUAUUUAAUAUGCAUAUUUUAGUUUCAGAAAGGGUGUAUGUCUAAGUUUGCGGAGGGUAGGCUUAAGGCCCUUGGUAGACGGACUGCCGUAAAUCCGGAGCUGUACCAGUAUUUACAUAUUCCGAGCAUGCUACAACUACAAGCGGACAUUUCUUUAUCAAGACGUGAGAUUUAAAGUAUUAGCGUUAAAAAUGAGAAAACAAGCUCAAUACAAAAGAAUACUAUUAAAAAAAAUAAAGGCUUCUCAAGCCAACGCGGUACCCACUCUGCUAGCGAAGAGUCUAUAAAUAUGGAAGAUUGUAUAACAGGCAGACAGAAAGACGGACAGAGUGAGUUGCUUUAAGCUUUGUAAAAAGAUUGGUCAGUAAAUAGAAUCUCAAUCUAGACAAGGUCUACUGGUCUUAGAAGCUCUAUUUGUGUUUGACAAUGGGAGACCUAUGAAGCACAGGCACGUGAUCAUAGCGUGCAUUAUUUCAGUCUGCUAGGUCUACUAAGUGCCGGAUUCUAGUGGAGUGGAGCCCACGAAAGCACGGACAAUAAUCUCCACAAUCACGUCUGCUGACCAGUUGCUUUCAGCUUUUGAAGACAAUUUAGGAUUUAAUUCGACAACAUCCAUUACUGACAGACGACCUGAAAAAAAAAAAGGGCA